CCUACGGGUGGCAGCAGUAGGGAAUCUUCCACAAUGGGCGCAAGCCUGAUGGAGCAACACCGCGUGAGUGAAGAAGGGUUUCGGCUCGUAAAGCUCUGUUGUUGGAGAAGAACGUGCGUGAGAGUAACUGUUCACGCAGUGACGGUAUCCAACCAGAAAGUCACGGCUAACUACGUGCCAGCAGCCGCGGUAAUACGUAGGUGGCAAGCGUUAUCCGGAUUUAUGGGGCGUAAAGCGAGCGCAGGCGGUUGCUUAGGUCUGAUGUGAAAGCCUUCGGCUUAACCGAAGAAGUGCAUCGGAAACCGGGCAACUUGAGUGCAGAAGAGGACAGUGGAACUCCAUGUGUAGCGGUGGAAUGUGUAGAUAUAUGGAAGAACACCAGUGGCGAAGGCGGCUGUCUGGUCUGCAACUGACGCUGAGGCUCGAAAGCAUGGGUAGCGAACAGGAUUAGAUACCCGGGUAGUC
rnacentral:rRNA from 1 species